ACACGGAUCUCAUCACUCCUUCGCCAAAAGAAGCUCUCAUCCUGGCCACCGCCGUACUCUUCCAGGCCGCCAUACGGAUCUCACUACUCCUUCGCCAGAAGGAGAAGACUCAUCCCGGGAACCACCGUACUCAUCAGGCCGCCGCGUAUAAGGCUCCUUUGAGCGGUGCAAUCUGCCAGUAGCCAUGUCCGACUCGCCCAGCUUCCUCACUCUCCUCUCUGACGCCGGCGCUGCCUUCUUCCCCCAUGUCGUGCUGGUUCCACAUCUGAAGCUUGGUUUUUUGCAUGGCGGCCCAAUGAGGCGUCCAUCCCCGAGGGCCCCUGGCCAUAGCAGCCGACUCCGCUCCUCCCUCCCCGCAUGAACCUAGCACCUCGCUGAGUGAGGAGUUCGUGUUGUUCACCUUCUACAAGCUGGUGCCCGUCGACGACCCGCGCUCACACCUCCACUUCAUGCAGGUUAGGAACAUUACUUGGAUGCUUUUCAGGCUUCUCCAGCAUUAACCGGGCAUGCUCUCCAGUACAAACAAUGACUUAUUCAGUAGGGAAAUUACUGGAGUAGCUGGCAUCAGUUGAUCAGGGAAAUUGGCUCAGGGAUCUUUAGAUCAAUUACAUCAGAGGUCAUGUUCAGCUACAGAAACUGUGUUUGGCACACAUCGGAGGUCAUGUACUGCAUAUGAUCAAAUUAGAGAACAAGCAAGGAGUAUCAUCCAAUUUCAGUAAUUGAAAGUGAAAUGGGAUGAUCUGCAACACCACUAUUUGGAUGAAUUUGUUCAACGAUGACACCAAUUUCAGCAGGUAUUGUACCUUUCAACCACCACCACCAAGCAGCAGAGGCGGGGGCGCUUGAGUAAAUCAAAAUCGAUGAUCGGGGGCUCUACACCACCCCAGCAGCACCUGCUGCAACAGAGGCGAGGAAGACAACAGCAGUAGCAGAGGCCAGAGUGGCCCGAAAAUUUCGCGUCGCUGGUGGCCGGAGCGGAUGAAGUGGCUGGUCCUGCGAGUGGCGGCGGUGGUCGCCUCUGUGGCAGCGGCGCGGGUGGGUGGUGGUGCUGUGUCGGACGGUUGAUGCGCUGGUCGCUUCCGUGGGCGGCGGUGGUGGGGCAGUGCAGGUGGGUUGCGGUGGUCGAGCUGUGCAGGCGGGCCUCUGUGGCGGCUGCGCAGGUGGUCGGCGGCGUUUGACCCGACGGUGGCUCCCGCCAGCGGGGGAGGAAGGAAGGAGACGGGUUGAUUUUUCAAGGGGGUUGAACGUAUGAGAUUUUUUUUCUUUUUUGCAAAAAACACAAUGAACUACUUUUCUGGACGGAGAGAGUAGUUUGUAUGUCUUGAUCCGUACUCGAUCAUGUUUAUAUUUGUUUAUUUAUUUGAACCAGAAACUGAAUCAAUUUUUGGAAGGAAACCCAAUCAGUAUAUCUAUGUAUCAUCCUUCAUUUAUUUUCACUGACAUGACAGGACGGUUGACGCGAGGGCCGUCCAAACCAACUACCUGUACCACAUGUCCAGGUACGAGUCCGUCUCCACCUGUAACUACGCCUUAGCCCGCCGUCUGAGUUGCUUUCCACCGUUCGUACAGACAAACGGCAGCAACAAUGUAUUCCACAUUUUAUAUUCACGUAUUGGAGAGGCAAUGAUGGGUAGCCCAGAUUACGAUGCAACUCUAUGCGGUUGGGAUAUCAUGACCAACUGGACUCGGGAGCCAAAACGCCAAUCCUUGUGAUGUGUCUGCUUGUUUCUCUUUUAGAAUACGGACAAAAUAUUGCAGAAUAGUACCCCGUUAUGCAAUGGUGAAGGAAGUAAUGCAGAUAAGGUUCAAGAUAGUG